rnacentral:rRNA from 1 species
GAUGAACGCUAGCGGCAGGCUUAACACAUGCAAGUCGAGGGGUAUAGUUCUUCGGAGCUAGAGACCGGCGCACGGGUGCGUAACGCGUAUGCAAUCUGCCUUUCACAGAGGGAUAGCCCAGAGAAAUUUGGAUUAAUACCUCAUAGUAUUAUAGACUGGCAUCGGUUUAUAAUUAAAGUCACAACGGUGAAAGAUGAGCAUGCGUCCCAUUAGCUAGUUGGUAAGGUAACGGCUUACCAAGGCGACGAUGGGUAGGGGUCCUGAGAGGGAGAUCCCCCACACUGGUACUGAGACACGGACCAGACUCCUACGGGAGGCAGCAGUGAGGAAUAUUGGUCAAUGGACGCAAGUCUGAACCAGCCAUGCCGCGUGCAGGAUGACGGUCCUAUGGAUUGUAAACUGCUUUUGUACGAGAAGAAACACUCCUACGUGUAGGAGCUUGACGGUAUCGUAAGAAUAAGGAUCGGCUAACUCCGUGCCAGCCGCCGCGGUAAUAC